CCAGAAACAAAAAUAUCAAAAGGCCACUAUCUCUAUUAGAUCUCGUAAAGAUUUAUGAUAGAUUACGAUAAUAAAGACAAUAAGAUUUUUCAUUGUAUAUAUAUGAAUAAUUAACCUAAGGUGAUCUACUUUGGUCAGUUUCUUUAGUCUGUAUGCACGUGAAGUAAAGUAGAAGAAAAAAAUGUUAUGAAACAGACACACA
rnacentral:lncRNA from 1 species